CUAUACAUGCAAGUCGAGCGGACAGAAGGGAGCUUGCUCCCGGAUGUUAGCGGCGGACGGGUGAGUAACACGUGGGUAACCUGCCUGUAAGACUGGGAUAACUCCGGGAAACCGGAGCUAAUACCGGAUAGUUCCUUGAACCGCAUGGUUCAAGGAUGAAAGACGGUUUCGGCUGUCACUUACAGAUGGACCCGCGGCGCAUUAGCUAGUUGGUGAGGUAACGGCUCACCAAGGCGACGAUGCGUAGCCGACCUGAGAGGGUGAUCGGCCACACUGGGACUGAGACACGGCCCAGACUCCUACGGGAGGCAGCAGUAGGGAAUCUUCCGCAAUGGACGAAAGUCUGACGGAGCAACGCCGCGUGAGUGAUGAAGGUUUUCGGAUCGUAAAGCUCUGUUGUUAGGGAAGAACAAGUGCAAGAGUAACUGCUUGCACCUUGACGGUACCUAACCAGAAAGCCACGGCUAACUACGUGCCAGCAGCCGCGGUAAUACGUAGGUGGCAAGCGUUGUCCGGAAUUAUUGGGCGUAAAGGGCUCGCAGGCGGUUUCUUAAGUCUGAUGUGAAAGCCCCCGGCUCAACCGGGGAGGGUCAUUGGAAACUGGGAAACUUGAGUGCAGAA
rnacentral:rRNA from 1 species